CUUAACCGGGCGUUAAGUUGCAGGGUAUAGACCCGAAACCCGGUGAUCUAGCCAUGGGCAGGUUGAAGGUUGGGUAACACUAACUGGAGGACCGAACCGACUAAUGUUGAAAAAUUAGCGGAUGACCUGUGGCUGGGGGUGAAAGGCCAAUCAAACCGGGAGAUAGCUGGUUCUCCCCGAAAGCUAUUUAGGUAGCGCCUCGUGAAUUCAUCUCCGGGGGUAGAGCACUGUUUCGGCUAGGGGGCCAUCCCGGCUUACCAACCCGAUGCAAACUGCGAAUACCGGAGAAUGUUAUCACGGGAGACACACGGCGGGUGCUAACGUCCGUCGUGAAGAGGGAAACAACCCAGACCGCCAGCUAAGGUCCCAAAGUCAUGGUUAAGUGGGAAACGAUGUGGGAAGGCCCAGACAGCCAGGAUGUUGGCUUAGAAGCAGCCAUCAUUUAAAGAAAGCGUAAUAGCUCACUGGUCGAGUCGGCCUGCGCGGAAGAUGUAACGGGGCUAAACCAUGCACCGAAGCUGCGGCAGCGACACUCAGGUGUUGUUGGGUAGGGGAGCGUUCUGUAAGCCUGUGAAGGUGUGCUGUGAGGCAUGCUGGAGGUAUCAGAAGUGCGAAUGCUGACAUAAGUAACGAUAAAGCGGGUGAAAAGCCCGCUCGCCGGAAGACCAAGGGUUCCUGUCCAACGUUAAUCGGGGCAGGGUGAGUCGACCCCUAAGGCGAGGCCGAAAGGCGUAGUCGAUGGGAAACGGGUUAAUAUUCCCGUACUUGGUGUUACUGCGAAGGGGGGACGGAGAAGGCUAUGUUGGCCGGGCGACGGUUGUCCCGGUUUAAGCGUGUAGGUGUGUGUUCCAGGUAAAUCCGGUUCACUUUAACACUGAGGCGUGACGACGAGGCACUACGGUGCUGAAGCAACAAAUGCCCUGCUUCCAGGAAAAGCCUCUAAGCAUCAGGUAACAUCAAAUCGUACCCCAAACCGACACAGGUGGUCAGGUAGAGAAUACCAAGGCGCUUGAGAGAACUCGGGUGAAGGAACUAGGCAAAAUGGUGCCGUAACUUCGGGAGAAGGCACGCUGACAUGUAGGUGAAGUGAUUUACUCA
rnacentral:rRNA from 1 species